UGGGGAAUAUUGCACAAUGGGCGAAAGCCUGAUGCAGCAACGCUGCGUGCGGGAUGACGGCCUUCGGGUUGUAAACCGCUUUCAGCAGGGACGAAGGUUUUCUGACGGUACCUGCAGAAGAAGCACCGGCUAACUACGUGCCAGCAGCCGCGGUGAUACGUAGGGUGCGAGCGUUGUCCGGAAUUAUUGGGCGUAAAGAGCUUGUAGGCGGUCCGUUGCGUCGGAAGUGAAAACUCAGGGCUUAACCCUGAGCCUGCUUUCGAUACGGGCGGACUUGAGGGAUGUAGGGGAGAACGGAAUUCCUGGUGGAGCGGUGGAAUGCGCAGAUAUCAGGAGGAACACCAGUGGCGAAGGCGGUUCUCUGGACAUUUCCUGACGCUGAGAAGCGAAAGCGUGGGGAGCAAACAGGCUUAGAUACCCUGGUAGUCCACGCCGUAAACGGUGGGCACUAGGUGUGGGACCCAUUCCACGGGUUCCGUGCCGUAGCUAACGCAUUAAGUGCCCCGCCUGGGGAGUACGGCCGCAAGGCUAAAACUUAAAUGAAUUGACGGGGUCAUAGCUGUUUUCCCUG
rnacentral:rRNA from 1 species